rnacentral:rRNA from 1 species
GACGAACGCUGGCGGCGUGCUUAACACAUGCAAGUCGAACGGAAAGGCCUCUUUCGGGGGGUACUCGAGUGGCGAACGGGUGAGUAACACGUGAGUAACCUGCCCUUGACUUUGGGAUAACUUCAGGAAACUGGGGCUAAUACCGGAUAGGAGCUCCUGCUGCAUGGUGGGGGUUGGAAAGUUUCGGCGGUUGGGGAUGGACUCGCGGCUUAUCAGCUUGUUGGUGGGGUAGUGGCUUACCAAGGCUUUGACGGGUAGCCGGCCUGAGAGGGUGACCGGCCACAUUGGGGCUGAGGUACGGCCCAGACUCCUACGGGAGGCAGCAGUGGGGAAUAUUGCACAAUGGGUGGAAGCCUGAUGCAGCAACGCCGUGUGCGGGAUGACGGCCUUCGGGUUGUAAACCGCUUUCGCUCAUGACGAAGCUUUGUGUGACGGUAGUGGGUAAAGAAGCACCGGCUAACUACGUG